rnacentral:sRNA from 2 species
CGCCCGUCACACCAUGGGAGCUGGUAAUGCCCGAAGUCGGUUUUGUUAACUACGGAGACAACUGCCUAAGGCAGGACUGGUGACUGGGGUGAAGUCGUAACAAGGUAUCCCUACGAGAACGUGGGGAUGGAUUACCUCCUUUCUACGGAGUACACCUUAGUACAACAAGUACUGAUAACAAUGACUAAAUAUUUUAUGUUAUGUGCUAAUGUUUUUAGUCCACUAGCGUAUAUCUAGUUUUGAGAGAACUUUCUCUCAUGAUCUUUGAAAACUGAAUAGUUAUACAUUUUUAAUAUAACAACGACAUCAUUAAACAAAAUAAAGAUUAUGUCUUAUUUGUUUUGAUACCGAGUUAAUAAAUUUAAUUUAUUAAAAUGUCUUAAAAUACAUCAACAAUAGGUAAAUAUUGUACUUUUAAAUAAGUAAGAGUUUAUGGUGGAUGCCUUGGGUCUGGAAGUCGAUGAAGGACGUGAUAACCUGCGAUAAGCCUCGUGGAGCUGGAAAUGCGCUAUGAAACGGGGAUUUCCGAAUGGGGGAACCUAACUAGAGUAAAGUCUAGUUGCUUUCUGAUGAAUAAAAUAGUCAGAUAGACGAGACACGUUGUGAGCUGAAACAUCUUAGUAGCAACAGGAAGAGAAAAUAAAUAAUGAUUCUAUUAGUAGCGGCGAGCGAAAAUGGAAGAGCCCAAACCAACGCAUGUUGGGGUUGUAGGACAGCCUCUUUAAGUUACAAAAUUAUAAUAUAGCAGAAAAACUUGGAAAAGUUUAGCAUAGAAGGUGAAACUCCUGUAUGCGAAAUAUUAUAAUCUUAUGGCUGUAUCCUGAGUAGGGCGGGGCACGUGAAACCCUGUCUGAAUCUGCCGGGACCAUCCGGUAAGGCUAAAUACUAACCAGACACCGAUAGUGAACUA